GCUCCGUAUUUUAACAGUAGUGUUAUCGUUUCCAAUGACGUGAUUCCUUUUGUAAAUGGUAUAUGCGAUUCGAUUGCAAUGUGGAGCGCUGUUCUACCUAGGUACGAGGAAACACGAACAAACGUCAAAUAGCCGGUUCCCUUGGAUGGUUCUCAAAGCCAACAAUUCAGCUAAAAUUUCUUCAUGAGAAUCCCCUUGUGCCGCAAUCGAGUGUAUCAGUGUGUCUCCCUGUAACAAGGAUGCAACAAUUUUAAGAAACGAAGAAAUCGCGAAGGCAUUAUGUAAAAACAUUU